rnacentral:tRNA from 1 species
AAGCCCAUGUAGUGUGAUCACGCCAAAAUGCAAAUUUGGAGACGCACCCCAUAAGGUGCCGGGGCUUC